CGAUGACGAGUCCCUUCCGCUACCCUGCUUUUCCCUCAGGUUCUAUGAAGAAGGCUUUGGAAUUGGUCAGCCUAUUUUUGACUUUACUGACAAGAACCCACGUCCAGCUACUAUUGUUGCGUUAUCUGAUGGGGACCUUAAAAUAACUAACUUCAUACGAAGAGUUGCUGGAUACAACUUACUUGAGCCUAAAUUCGGUGAUCUUCUGGUAUCAUCACGAGAUUCGGUAGUAUUACCUGAUGGACAAACAGUUGACCCUCCCUACUGGGAUUGCUUAGUAUGCGACCGUGACCCUCCUAGCCAAGACUUUGACGAGUUCACCGCCCAUCUCUCUAGUGAAGAACAUCAGGAGCUGAGAUUGUGCUGGUUACCCGAUCGUCCUCAGUGUGAACCGUCAGCUCCCCUUGAUUCUCAUCCGGCCUAUGCUAUUAGCAU